GGACCCGCACAAGCGGUGGAGUAUGUGGUUUAAUUCGAUGCAACACGAAGAACCUUACCAGGGUUUGAAAUCAUUUCAAAACUCCUUGAAAGAGGAGCCUCCUUCGGGAUGAAAUGACAGGUGGUGCAUGGCUGUCGUCAGCUCGUGUUGUGAAAUGUCGAGUUAAGUCUCGUAACGAGCGCAACCCAUGUCUCUUGUUGCUCACUGAGUGCUUAAGAGAGACUGCCGACCAACAUCGGAGGAAGGUGUGGAUGAUGUCAAGUCAGCAUGCCCCUUUACAUCCUGGGGCUACACACGUACUACAAUGGUAGGGACAAUGAGCUGCGAUCCUGCGAAGGCUAGCCAA
rnacentral:rRNA from 1 species